CACGUAGGGCGCGAGCGUUGUCCGGAAUUAUUGGGCGUAAAGAGCUCGUAGGCGGCCUGUUGCGUCCGCUGUGAAAGCCCGGGGCUUAACCCCGGGUCUGCAGUGGAUACGGGCAGGCUAGAGGUAGGUAGGGGAGAAUGGAAUUCCCGGUGUAGCGGUGAAAUGCGCAGAUAUCGGGAGGAACACCGGUGGCGAAGGCGGGUCUCUGGGCCGAUACUGACGCUGAGGAGCGAAAGCGUGGGGAGCAAACAGG
rnacentral:rRNA from 1 species